UAUAUGUGAGAGAGAGAGAGAGAGAGAGAAAGAGACCCAGAGAGAGAGAGACCCCUCCUCAAGUAGUAGAGAAAGAGACCACAAAUCAAUUAUAUUAAAAAAAAAAAAGAAGAAGAAGAGAAAGCUCUCUCUCUCUUCCCUGUCUCUCUCUCAGAGCAUAUGUUGUUGGCUUCAUCCUUUCAGUAAAGGCCUUCUUGCCCCUAAACGAGCUCAACUCGAGGUCGCUGUAAUUCUGACAUACAGAAGAGCCAAUGCCAUAUAUAGACAUGAAGACCAAAACAAGCAAGGCUCUUGGUGUCUCUAAAAAACCUAAACCAACUAUCAGAACUUCAUCCUCUCUCUCCAAAAUCUCUGGCCACUUGGAAAGCAUAACAACAACAACAACACCUACUCUUACUUGCCACGACGAGCCCAAACAGCAACUUGGUUCGGAUACUUUUGCUCGGGAUGUUGAAACUAACGAGCCCGCUGAAAUGCUUGUUGAAGAAGACACUUCUCAGUCUCAGGCGUUUGCAUCUUCCCUUGAUGCUUCUGAAUCUGUCGCCAAAAUGGAGAUGGCUUGCAGCUAUAUAGCAAACUCAGAUACAAUAUUUUCUCCUGUUCUGAAUGAUGAACUCGAUGCAACUGAUCGAGUUUUUACGGCAGGAAACUCUGUGCACUGGGAAAUUCCCAGGUGGGGAGGCGACGAGAGCACCAACAAGAUUUGCUUUGACAACCAGACGUGCAACGUUUCUGAUUUCUUUAUAUCUGACGUUCUAAUUGCGAGCUUGCCGUUUGAUGAGAGUGGAAACAAUGAUGCGUUCACCGAGAUAAGCCCCUUGCCUCAUUUCAUAUUCCCAGAGCAGUACAUGUUACUACCUUACUUGGAAGAUGGAGCAGCCAACACAGAUGAUGUCAAGUCAGAUGCCGACAACAGGAUUACUCUGGAUAACCAUGAUUUGUUUCUGGCGUUCAACCGGACAAGAUCACACAAUAUGCAACCGGAGGAUCUUGCUGAAUCUGAACAAGCUGAAGAUUUUGAUCCUCAGCUAUUUAUAAAGAAUCAGCCGGAACUAUCGGACGUUGUAUCCAGCUAUUGGCCUAGGGAUACCCUAAGAAAAAAGGAUGUGACCCUUGUCCUUGAUUUGGAUGAAACUUUGGUCCAUUCGACUCUGGAAUCGUGCAGUGGUGCAGAUUUUUCCUUUAGAGUCUUUUUCAAUAUGCAAGAGAACACGGUCUAUGUGAAGCAAAGGCCACACCUGUACAAGUUCUUGGAGAGGGUGGUCGAACUGUUCCAUGUCGUUAUCUUCACGGCUAGUCACAGCAUCUAUGCUUCACAACUUCUAGAUAUAUUGGACCCAGAGGGAAAGUUCAUAUCGCAGCGUUUUUAUCGAGACUCAUGCAUUCUUUUGGAAGGAAUUUACACCAAGGAUUUAACUGUUCUGGGCCUUGAUUUGGCGAAAGUGGCUAUAAUUGACAACUGUCCGCAGGUGUACAGGUUGCAAAUAAAUAACGGGAUCCCUAUCAAAAGUUGGUAUGAUGAUCCAACUGAUGAUGGUUUGAUCACUAUACUUCCCUUCUUGGAGACUUUGGCUGUUGCUGAUGAUGUUCGGCCUAUCAUUGGCAGGAGAUUUGGUAACGAGGAAUAAGAGCUUCCUUCUCUCUUUUUUUGUCUAUAUACAUCGAGUGCAGAUUCUGAUUUCUCUCCUUUGGAAUUUUAGUCAUAAAAUGGCCCUUAAUUCUUAGUUUCAUAUCUCGUUUUAGGUCGUUAAUUAGGUAACCAAAGAAUAAGCUCGUCUGAGUCUAGUGAGAGUAAGUGUUCCUUGCUUGCUCGCUUUUUUUAGGAACCUUCUGAAUAUAAGAACUAGUUGUGGCCUUACAUCCUAAUCUAUUACUGGUUCUACUCUGCCAAGAUAGAUCUUGCAGUUUGUUACAAAUGUACAGUUGGUUUAAGCUGAGAUAAUGGAUGUGUAUAAAUGAGUUCUUAUUGAAUGAAAUCAUUUUGGAAGUUAAGAGCAGUUGCGUUCAUGUCUCUGUCUUUAAACUUCUCUUAUUAUACUGAUAGUUAAACCUUUUAGCUGCUUUUUUCCAGUAAUAUAAACACAGAGAAUGGCUACGCUAGUAAUGCAGAAGUUGAGCUUGAAUCUUGAUCCAGCUUAUAUGGUUUAUUUUAAAGCUUUUAAGCAAAGUUAUUACACUUUGCGCCUCUGGCCUUUGCAAAAUUCAGAUAAGAAAAUGGGAUGAUCCGUUCAACUCCAUGGUAUAUACUAUAUAGUCUAUAAUCCUCGUAAAAGUUUUCAUGAUUUUGCAUGCCUUAUGUGCAGAUUUAUCAUCGAACGAAGUAACGAACCCUAACUAUAUUAUACGCUUUAAGGAAAUGACUGACCAUGUAAUCUCUAUAUUAAAAGCUGAUUCCAAGUUUGUUAACCCAAUCCAAACGUGUUCCUCCUGUCUUCUGUUUCUCGCCAUUGUUUCAUGUAGAUAAUAGACUUAUAACAUACAGAUUCACAGAUGAUUGAUGAUAUGUAUCUCUCAGUUCCAGCAAUGUUCUUAAUCAAUUUCUGAGGGUUUGCUUA